AGUGAACGCUGGCGGUAGGCCUAACACAUCUAAGUCGAACGGCAGCACAGUAAGAGCUUGCUCUUACGGGUGGCGAGUGGCGGACGGGUGAGGAAUACAUCGGAAUCUACUUUUUCGUGGGGGAUAACGUAGGGAAACUUACGCUAAUACCGCAUACGACCUACGGGUGAAAGCAGGGGAUCUUCGGACCUUGCGCGAUUGAAUGAGCCGAUGUCGGAUUAGCUAGUUGGCGGGGUAAAGGCCCACCAAGGCGACGAUCCGUAGCUGGUAUGAGAGGAUGACCAGCCACCCGGGAACUGAGACACGGUCCAGACUCCUAAGGGAGGCAGCAGUGGGGAAUAUUGGACAAUGGGCGCAAGCCUGAUCCAGCCAGACCGCGUAGGUGAAGAAGGCCUUCGGGUUGUAAAGCCCUUUUGUUGGGAAAGAAAAGCAGCAGGUUAAUACCCCGCUGUUCUGACGGUACCCAAAGAAUAAGCACCGGCUAACUUCGUG
rnacentral:rRNA from 1 species